rnacentral:tRNA from 1 species
GGGCCGUUAGCUCAGUUGGUAGAGCAGCGGACUUUUAAUCCGCGUGUCGCAGGUUCGAGCCCUGCACGGCCUACCA